rnacentral:tRNA from 1 species
GUCGGAGUGGCGGAAUUGGCAGACGCGCUAGGUUGAGGGCCUAGUGAACAUUUAGUUCAUGGGGGUUCAAAUCCCCCCCCCGACACCA